AUUGAACGCUGGCGGCAGGCUUAACACAUGCAAGUCGAGCGGAGAUGAGGUGCUUGCACCUUAUCUUAGCGGCGGACGGGUGAGUAAUACUUAGGAAUCUGCCUAUUAGUGGGGGACAACAUUCCGAAAGGAAUGCUAAUACCGCAUACGUCCUUCGGGAGAAAGCAGGGGAUCUUCGGACCUUGCGUUAAUAGAUGAGCCUAAGUCGGAUUAGCUAGUUGGUGGGGUAAAGGCCUACCAAGGCGACGAUCUGUACGGGGCAUGAGCGGAUGAUCCGCCACACUGGGACUGAGACACGGCCCAGACUCCUACGGGAGGCAGCAGUGGGGAAUAUUGGACAAUGGGGGGAACCCUGAUCCAGCCAUGCCGCGUGUGUGAAGAAGGCCUUAUGGUUGUAAAGCACUUUAAGCGAGGAGGAGGCUACUGAGACUAAUACUCUUGGAUAGUGGACGUUACUCGCAGAAUAAGCACCGGCUAACUCUGUGCCAGCAGCCGCGGUAAGAC
rnacentral:rRNA from 1 species